rnacentral:rRNA from 2 species
ACGGUUGGUCAUGCCUCUGGUAUGUACUGGUCUCACUGAUUCCUCCUUCCUUAUGAACCGUAAUGCCAUUAAUUUGGUGUUGCGGGGAAUUUGGACUGUUACUUUGAAAAAAUUAGAGUGUUUAAAGCAGGCUAACGCUUGAAUACAUUAGCAUGGAAUAAUGAAAUAGGACGUUCGAUCUUGUUUUGUUGGUUUCUAGGAUUGACGUAAUGAUUAAUAGGGAUAGUUGGGGGCAUUAGUAUUCAAUUGUCAGAGGUGAAAUUCUUGGAUUUAUUGAAGACUAACUACUGCGAAAGCAUUUGCCAAGGAUGUUUUCAUUAAUCAAGAACGAAAGUUAGGGGAUCGAAGACGAUCAGAUACCGUCGUAGUCUUAACCAUAAACUAUGCCGACUAGGGAUCGGAUGAUGUUAAU